rnacentral:tRNA from 1 species
GGGCCAAUAGCUCAGCUGGUAGAGCACCUGCAUGGCAUGCAGGGGGUCAGGGGUUCGAGUCCCCUUUGGUCCACCA